rnacentral:rRNA from 1 species
AUACGGAGGGUGCAAGCGUUAAUGGGAAUUACUGGGCGUAAAGCGCGCGUAGGCGGUUUGGUAAGUCGGAUGUGAAAGCCCCGGGCUCAACCUGGGAAUUGCAUUCGAUACUGCCAGACUAGAGUAUGGUAGAGGGAAGUGGAAUUCCGGGUGUAGCGGUGAAAUGCGUAGAUAUCCGGAGGAACACCAGUGGCGAAGGCGACUUCCUGGACCAAUACUGACGCUGAGGUGCGAAAGCGUGGGGAGCAAACAGGAUUAGAAACCCCAGUAGUCC